CCAUUGAGUAUUGGUUUUGAAGCCCAGUCGAUUUGGUUUCGUCACCGAUCAAAGCAAACUCCGGCAAUAAUAUUUUGUUUGGAGGAUUAUAAAAAUUCAAAAAUGCGAGGACAAAGGCUGGAAGCAUGUGGCUUAGAAAGGCAGUCCUUUUUAGAGGACCAAUAAAGAACUGUGAGUA